UGGGCAUUGAUAAGCGGCCAACAUGUCUUGAAGUUCUCCAGAGGCCUGGUAAUGAACUAAUCAUUUGAUUCAGGUGUGUUGACCCAGGGUGAGAUCUAAAACCUGCAGGACACCGGCCCUCGAGGCCUGGAGUCCGACACCCCUGAUCUAUGGUUUUACAGCUGUCUGCUCCGAGGUGUUGCAGACUAAAUCUAGGCUUCACGUCCACUUUCCCACGCUGUCAAGCUGUUUGUGACAUCACUGGUCUAGUCCAAUCAUCUUACUCCCGGCCUUCUUCAGUCCGUUUAGCAUUCACGCCGCAUACUUUAAAUCUCACUGUGUAUCUGUCAUUCUCCCUUGCACAUGCCUUUGUUCAACAUACCUCCUCCCCAUCACCACCUUGUCCUCGUCACUCAGGCUCCAUUCAAGCCACUAUCUUCAUCUCCAACAAGAGCAUCUAGACUCCAAGGGGGCCAUCUCUACUCCCUACUCUACUCACAGCUCGGCUUCGGUUCCGCCAAAACGGGCCAUGAGAGGCUAAGUGCCAAAUACCUCUAUCUAAAUUCUUUACAUCAAUAACGCAUGUCCAUUUCUUUUUAAUGAUCUCUCCUUGUUAAAAUAAUAAUCUUCAUAAUCAAUUCACAUGAAAUAUAUCUAAUUAACCUACUCUGACUUAAUGCUGAUUAUGUGCUGAUCUCUGAGAGGAUAGAGAUUGAGAAGAAAACAGGAACAUACAGACCUAAAGAUGUGCUUAUCUCUGUGUUCUUUGUGUAAUUAUAAUCGAACAAGAAAAGCAGCAUUCCUUGGAAAUUCACCCACAGGAAUACAGUCGAAAGCCAAAUCCUAUCAACGUUAUAAACAGUGGAAAUUAUUGGAAGUUAUAAUCUGGCAGGAAAACACCUGAAUGAAAAUCAAAAAUGAAAAUGCAAAAAUGAGCAGAGAAACAGCCAAAAAAUACACAAUUAAUUAGUGAGCCCACAAUGUUCAGGCAUCAGUUGCUUUUCUGGUGUUGCUUGCCCCCCAUGGUUGGAUUGUCGGAUGAUGACAUCUGCUCAUCACAAGAACUACAGGAAGAGACAACCCCAAAUGUUCCUAGGCGCUCUUCUUUAUACUCAUUGCAUGUUGUUCUUGCAACACACAAAUUUACCCUUUCUGUAUAGAAACAGCAGAGGCAAAAAGAUGUUGCUGGGGAGAUUAAAUAGGGCGUCCCAUGACAUCAACAUGCAUCCAUUAAGUCCUCCUGUGAUAUACACUACAGACCAAUUCAGAUCCCAAACAAAUGUCAACAACAGCAUUCCCAGUAUGGUCACAAUGGUGUAAAAUGCUCUCUUCUUUGAUUGGUCAAUCCCUUUUCUGUUCCUGCCGUCUUGUCUUGGGCUUGAAUAAAUUAAGACACGGAGAACAGAAAGGCUGCAGAAGGAGGAGACGAUUAAAGACAAUGUCAAGAAGCAAAAAUUCACAAUUGAGACGAUGAUAUCAUCUAUCAUUGUAAAACCUGACAGUGCAAAGCAAAGCAGCCAAACACAGCCUAUGCUGAUAUUUCUGAUUCUGACCCAUCUUUCUUUCCUUAAGCUCAGAUAAGUGAUGGGAUGAACAGCAGCCAUGUAGUGCUCCACACAAGUCAGCAUGUGAAAGAAAAUCAGUCCAAACCAACAGACAGAGUAAAGAAAGAACGCCCAGAAUAACAUGUUUAAAUAUUUCAUGACACUACCACAAUAGCUGAAGAUACACGCUAAGACAGCAAACAGGUCCAUGAUGGCGAUGUUGUAGGUGAAGCAGUCAGAGUGACUCAGUGCUUCCAUGAAGGUGGAGCCUUUUUUCCUCCAUUCUUGGAGACCAUGUUGGAGGAUGAGGAUGCAGAUGGGGAGGAUGAGGAAGAUGGCAGUGAUGUAAAAUGCACGAAAGAUAUAGGAGCUUGGUUUAGAGAUGAUACAGUACAUGUAUAAAGGGAGGGAGGUGUUCAUGGAGGAAAGGUGGAAAUCCAAAGUGGACUCAGUGGAGAAUGAUGAGUUUGCCAACAUCUGGGGAAAAAGAACAAAAUAGAAAAGCUUUUUAUUGUUAUUGUACAAGUACAACAAAACUGUUGGUUCUACACACCAACUGUGCAGAAAUAAACUAUAAAUAGUAAGACAGCAGGAAUAAAAAGAAGGAAAAAAAAGCCAACUCAUUGGAAUAAACAUAAAUAAUUGAUAAUAACAAUCCAACAAGAAAAGUAGCAUUCCUUGGAAAUUCAAACCCAAAAGAAUUCAGUGGAAAGCCAAAUCUUACUACGUUAUAAACCACAGGGAAAAGUGGAAAUUAUUAGAAAGUUUUAAUCUGGCAGGAAAACAACUGAAAUAAAAAAAUAGUGGGCAGACAAUGUUCAGGCAUCAGUUGCUUUUCUGGUGUUGCUUGCCCCCCAGGGUCGGAUCUCCAGAUGAUGUCAUCUGCUCAUAGCAAGAAAUACAGCAAGAGACAACCCCAAAUGUUCCUAGGCUCCUCUCUAAUACUCAUUGCAUGUUGUUCUUGCAACACACAAAUUUACCCUUUCUGUAUAGAAACAGCAGAGGCAUCAAGAGGCUGCUGGGGAGAUUAAAUAGGGCGUCCCAUGACAUUAACAUGCAUCCAUUAAGUCCUCCUGUAAUAUACACUACAGACCAAUUCAGAUCCCAAACAAACUUCAAAACCAGUAUUCCCAGUAUGGUCACAAUGGUGUAAAAUGCCCUCUUCUUUGAUUGGUCAACCCUGUCCCUGUUCACAGUGGAGACGAUGAUAUCGUUUAUCUUUAUAAAACUUGCUAUUGCAAAGCAAAGCAGCCAAACACAGCCUAUGCUGAUAUUCCUGAUUCUGACCCCUCUUUCUUUCCUUAAGCUCCGAUAAGUGAUGGGAUGAACAGCAGCCAUGUAGUGCUCCACACAAGUCAGCAUGUGGAAGAAGAUCUGUCCAAACCAGCAGACAGAGUAAAGAAAGAACGCCCAGAAUAACAUGUUUAAGUUAUUCAUGAACAUACUACAAUCACCAAAGACACACGCUAAGACAGCAAACAGGUCCAUGAUGACGAUGUUGUAGGUGAAGCAGUCAGAGUGACUCAGUACUUCCAUGAAGGUGGAGCCUUGUUUCCUCCAUUCUUGGAGACCAUGUUGGAGGAUGAGGAUGCAGACGGGGAGGACGAGGAAGAUGAUAAUGAUGCUCAGUGCACAAUAGAUGUAGGAGCUUGGUUUAGAGAUGAUACAGUACAUGUAUAAUGGAAGCGAGAUGUUCAUGGAGGAAAGGUGCAGAUCGAAAGGGGAGAAAAAUAAGUUUGUCGACAUCUGGGGCAAAAAAAAGAAUAAAAAAAGAAUAGAAUAGAAGAAGUGGGAAAAAAGCCAAAUCAUUGGAACAAACAUAAAUUAAAUCUGUCUUUUUAAUCUCUGUAUAGUUUGUAUAUACAACUUUUUCCCCCUUUUUGUGUUGUCUUAUACAUUAACUGUGCUGCUAUGGAACCCCAAAGCUGUAAUAUAUGGCCAAAUUAAAAUUACUCAGAAGUAAUUUGAAAUUUUCUUACAAUCAGCCAUUAAGUCAAAAAGUUUGAGAUAAUACUACAGCAUUUGCAAUAACUGUUUGACUUACUUCUGUCUGUAGCUGUGGUGGAGGAAACAAGCAUCCAUAAACAUCAGAUAGAAAUGCUAAAAGUUUCUAAAGUAAUCACAUUAAAUUAUGGAUUUGAAAUAAUUUUAAGAAAUAAAGAAACUUCUGCUGUUUCUUCCUUUAAACAUGUAUUAAUUUAUUUUUUCAGUAAUACUGGAAAAUAGAUUUUUUUUAACUUAAGGUACGUUUGGUGAAUUAUACAAUACAGUACAUGAUACUAUCAUUUUACCGCCAAGACUUUGUUUAACAUUUGUCAAUGUGUCAACAUGUGUGAUGCAAAAUGUGAGAGAAAAAUCUGGGACAAAAGAUUAUUAAAGGUUAAACCAUAUCAGAUUACAUCAGUGGAAAUAAAAAUGAACGGUAGUGCUGCUGUAUGGUGGAUAUAUCUCACACUUGAUUUUCUGGAAAAGUUGACUACUUUCCACUGACCCUCUCUCUGUUUGUAUCUGAACUUCCUCUGUGUUUCUCUCACAGGAACGACGUGUCUAUUUGCAAGUAUUUGUUCAAAACAUAUUUCAGCCCCACUCCACCUCCUGCCUCAAAACAGUCAAUUUAAAUAUGGAAAAAACUGAAACAAUGGCAAACUUAGAAAAACAGUUCAGCAGUGACAGUUAUUUUGACAGAAACAUGCAUAAUGUAGACAUAGACACAAAUCAACCACUAAGAUUACUCUACACUAAUGCAGACCUUCACUUCACUCAUGUCCUGCAUUUCUUCUUUGACUACCACACACCAGACUGGGCUUCAUCCACCCGCUGCUCUUUAUUUUGUUCAAUACGACAACAAGUGGAAAUAAUUUAAAUGAUAUGCAGAGUUUUGUAUAUUCAAAUAAACCAAAGGCGUUGAAGGUCUCACCGCUACUCUGAUCUUAGUUUUGCAUUAAGUAUUUCCUUAGUAGUAGAGAGAUGGAGGUGUCGAUGGAGGAAAGGUUGAGAUCCAAAGAGGACUGAGAGGAGACUGAUGAGUUUGCUGACAUCUGGAAAAAAAAAUUAAUUGCACUCUUAGAUUUCUGGGAAAUUUGACUUUGACACAGUUAAGAAAAGAAAUCCAAACAGAGAGAUUUAGUUAUUGACUGUUUAUUUCCUUCCAUUUGAUAUGUAGGUAGAUUUUGUUUUUUUUUCCUUCAUAAAAUGUAUUUAAUAAAGCAGAGUAUCAAUUGCCCAGCACAAACUGAGACAACGACAAACUGGGAAAAACAGUUGAGGAAUGGAAAACAUGCAUAACACACACACACACACACACACAAAUCUUCACUCAUGUUGUGCAUUUCUUUACUGACUACCACACACUACACUACAUCGGGCUUGAUGCACCUGCUGCAGUUUAUUUUGUCCGUUCAUUAGGACAAACAAUGUAAAGUAUUUAAAUAAUGUGCAGACUUUGUAUAUUCCAAUAAACCAGACACAAUAAAGGCAUCAUCUGUCACUAUCUCAGCUCUGCUGUGAUCUUAGAUUUGCAUUGCAUCUUUCCUUAGUAGCAGGAAACAUGCACAGUUGAGGCCAGAAUAAUUAACCCCCCUUAUGAAAUUAGGCAACACUCCUCAUUUCAAUAUAAUGACCAUUAACAACAAGUGUUUGUUUUUUAAAAUGUAUCUGUGUCCAAAAUAACAAGGUCCACUAAUUGUAGUAAGGAUAUUUUUAUUGAUAGACUGAGUAGAAACAAGAAAUGGCAAAAAUGAGCCAUCCAAAAUUAUUAGCCCCAUGCCCAUUAAUAGUCAAUAUUGUAUCCUUUUUGAGCCACAACUGACAACAACCUAAGCCUAGACUACGAGCAGAUUUCUGCAUAUUCUCCCUCAGAAUGUCAACAUAAUUUUCGUUUUCAUUAUGUCUUUUUUCAAAGACAUGAUUCCUUUGUCUUUGGCAUGGUGAGUAACAGCACUCCCUCUCAUGUGUUCAAGAGCCCUGUUCCUUGGAGUCUUUUUAUGUUGAUUGGAUUUUGUUAGGAACCCAACUGAUUGCACAGGUGUGGGUUCAACACUGAUUGGUUAAUUGGUGUAGAUGUGUUUUGAAAGCAAACAUUCAUAUGGGGCUAAUAUUUUUGACCACCUCAUUUUUUUCCUAUAUUUGAUAUAAAGCAAGACUAAAAAUGUAUUUUAUAUUACCAAAUGUACCAAAAGCUAGUAAAUAGCACUGGUUAGUGUUUGAUUAUAUCAAGUUUCAUCAAUGUUGCAAACUUUGGAAAGAGGUUUAGGGAAAUGUUCCAUGAUUCCUGGGGGGCUAAUAGUUUUGGCCUCAAGUGUAAUGGUUCAUAUCUUUAUAGCAAUAUUAAAAUAUCCCUCAAGAAAUUUUUCUUUCACAGUAUGCUGAACUUAAAGAACAUAAACACAAAUAGCCUUUGUGUUUCCUCCCCUUCUUUGUUUCUUGUUAAAUUUAUUUCAUUAAUAACUGUAAUAUUUUAUCACAUAAAGCCCAGCUGAAACAUGAGAAGAUACCUACAAAUAUUUGAUAUAUAAACUGUUUAUCCCCAGUUUUCAAGGUGAUUUUUUCAUGCAUUGACUCAAAACCGCUUUUCUUUCCAAGCUCCUUAGACUACGAUGACCUGGAUGACUGAGAACCUUCACAGACAAGUUGUACACAGUUAGUCAGAAAACUGCAUAUUGAAUAUUAUUGUGCAGCACGUAAGAUCGACAGCACACAGUGUGCUUCGAGGUAGCAGCCACAAAGGGUGUAGUUUGUAUGUGUGAGCACCCGUGUGUACACCUGUGAGCAUGAACGUGUUUGUUUUUAAAAGGUUCCUUCAUGUAAUGAUCUGCUAGAGGGUGUGGGGGGCCACAGCCCCAUCCUCCAGGGCAUGAAGCAGGUAUGGAGGAGAUCCAGGCAAUGUCAUUUGAUUUUCAUAAAAAUCAAAGGAACACCAACCUUAUGAUUCUCUUCUCUUCUCUUCUCUUCUCUUCUCUUCUCUUCUCUUCUCUUCUCUUCUCUUCUCUUCUCUUCUCUUCUCUUCUCUUCUCUUCUCUUCUCGCUGCACUUCACCCCACUCUGUCUCUCCAAGUAUAAUUCAAAUAAAGUUUAUUUGCGUUCAAAUAGAACCAUGUGACAAUGAUGAAUUAACACAUUAUGAAUUGAUUUAUCAAUAAACUAUUCUGCACAGCUGUUUUAUAUGUAAGCUGUGGAGUGUGGCCAGGCUGGCAGAGUAUCAUAGCCCAACCUCCUAUAUGGUACUCCACAUACAGAACUUUAUGUGUAUCUGUAAUACUAAAGUGAGUAAUGUUUGUGUCAAUGGAAAAUUGUACUUAGUAGUCAGUAUAAGCUUUUAAUGAUAUAAGUCUACAUAUGAUAGAAUACUUUCCCACAGCGACAAUAGCUGAAAAAGCAGUUUCACUCUUACCAGGAAGAGGAGAGCUGAAGCACUCUUAUCUUCACUCCCUUCCGAAUCCCACAACACACAUACACCUGCAUACGCACUAACAUUGCUCUGUCUAUGAACAGACGUAUUCACUAUUGUAUUAUUUUUGCAUAUAAAUAAAGACCGGGGUGGUAACAGAGCUCUGUGACCGCCCUUGCAAGUAAAACCUGCAGUGUGUGUGUCUUUACUCUUAGACUCUCAGCUGAAGAAGUGUCAUUUAAAAUAAAUCUCUUGACAAUUUGACAUUUAUUUGAUUCAAGAAUCAAAUAAAGGACAUGCAGUGCUGUUGUGCAUUAGGAUGAACACUGCAAAAAAUUCAAAUGAUGUGCUAUUUUUUAUGUGUAUCCAAAUCAAACAGCUUCAUCAGCCGUGUGGUUUGUGAGUAUUUAUGUGUGUAGUUUUGCUUUUCUAAAUCACACCUGUGACUGCAAACAAAACCACAUUUGAUAUGAUGGCAAACAAAUGUAAGGCUACAUUAAUAACCUAUUAUUUUCUUGUAAUAGGACAAAAGCAAGAAUCAGGGAGAGAAAGUGUUAACAAGCAGGGAUGAAAAAUGUCUCACUGCAUCAGAAACAGGUAAACACCGAUAUGGAUCAGCCUUCUCCACGAGGACAGAGGACAGACCAACACCACCAACAUCAUUAAUAUCCCACAGCUUCACCUCCACUCCCGUCUUACCCUAACACACACACACACACACACACACACACACACACACACACACACACACACACACACACACACGCACAAACACACGCAGAGGUGGGAAGUAAUGAAGUACAAAUACGUUUUAGUUACUAAAGAGUUACUAGACUUUUCAGGUACUGUUUAGUAUAAAGUAAGUACAGUACAAACAGUGCUGUCAGUGUAGAGAAUGGAAAUCAGCCAGCAUAGUUCAUGAAACAUCUGGUGACAUCUGGUUGAAUUCAGGUGUAUAAAUCCACAAAGAGCAGCCUGUCAGCUGACCACAGCAUGCACAUUAACAAAAUCUAUUGGAGCUCUCAAUAGAAAUUAUUGAGUUGAGAUUAUUUUUUUCCCACACCAAGCCAUUAAAACUGAUUUUAGGUUUCCCCACCUGCUGAAUCCCACUUUAACCCUGAUUGUACAUAUUUUAGCCAGAGUCACCCUCUACAAUGUAGCUAACAAAAAAUAGAACUUUUCAAAAAUGUCCUUCUUUUUCUCAUCUUCCUUACUUUUACUUCAGCAAGGAAUUCAAAUCAGUACUUCAGCUUUUAGUACAGAUUUGAUCACUAUCUGUACUUCUACUUGAGCAGAUCUUCACACUGGCUUUCAAUAGUCACAAGUAAAAUCAUUGCUUAAAGUAUGUCCUUUACCAUUAAAUACAAAUGGAGCAUUGCUUCAUAUUUCAUUAAUCUCCAGAUACAGAUUUCUUGUUUUUAAUCUCUUGUUAGUUGUAAGUCCACUGUAUAACCACUCUUUAUCCAAUUCUAAUACUGAGAGAAAUGUGCAUUUGAACAUAUGUGGACAAACUUAAAGCAUUGCUGCUCGAUGUUGUUUGUUUCAUUUCCUAAACAUAAAAUCCAUGUUUGUCUGUCAGAUAACAAAAAGCAGAGGACAAUGCUCAUCUUUAAGUAAAGCAUCAUACACUCAUUGGCUAACUACAUGCAAUUACCGUAACUUGCGGGCUAUAAGCCGCUACUUUUUGCACAAGCUUUGAACCCUGUGGUUUUUAGUCAGGUGCGACUAAUGUAUGAACAAAACAGGAGUUUCCCUAAUUUUAGCUUGUGCGGCUAAUAUUCAGGUGCGCUUUGUAGUCCGGAUGUAAGGAGUAAAUAUUUAAACAAGACAUUCUUCAGGCGAAAUAAAGACACUCAAGACAGUUUAGAUGGUAACAACGUGCGCACGCUGGGUGAGUGCUGCUGUCUCAGGCUCACAACCAGCAUUUGUGGCAGUUCUUUAUUUAUAGCGUUUCAGAGUAUGUGUGUGUGUGUGAAGUUUAUGAUCUCAGAGUGUGUGUGUGUGAUUCUGAAGAAUGGGCCCCUCUUUGUAUUUGGGAGUGUAUAGAUAAGAACGUCCUGCUCUCCCCUUCCUGGGAGUGAAACGGCUCGUAGAGAAUCAGGUACAGAGGAAAUAUACUGGGUGAAUCAUAUCUGAGAACACUAUGCUUUUGUCUUUCAUUUAAGCUUCACUUCAGCGAAACAGUAAAACCAUAAAAUACGAUUAAAUGGAAAGAAUAAAUGGGUAAACAACUAUUAACACUAAAAUUAAAGAUAAACUUUCAAUAACGUACAAAUGGCAGUGGGAAUAAUACUUGAAACAUUUGAAAAUCUCUUGACAUAUCCCUCCUGUUGUUAAUUUGUUUUUACACAUUUUAACUUUUAUCAGCAUACAGUCUCUGGACAGUGCAUUUUUAACUGUUGCUUCAUUAUUAACAGGAGUGUCUUUUUUCUUUUAGUUACAGGGUCUUCAGUCUUUCCAGGGCUCUGGUCAGACUGCCGUCAGCUGCAGUGUUGUUAGGUAUGAAGGUGCAGCAUUGUUCUCCACUUCUUUGUUUCUCGUUGCGCUGCGCGUUCUUCUGGGCAUAGGCUGCAGCUUAAAAAUGGUUCCCCUUUCAGGACACGUCACAUUUGGAGCCUGCCGGUAAAUCCUCGGGCAGUGUGGGUCACAUGGGUUGCUGGUGCAGGCCGUGUUCAUGCCUACCAGGGCCAGUGAUAAGAAUAUUGUGAACACGAGCAUGGAACACAUUGUUGUGACAGUGGUCAGUUGGCAUCCUCUUGUCCAGCAUCGACGUCGUCUGUGCGGUCUCUCACCCUCAGGGGCAUCCUGGUUUGCAUUUAGUAUUUCCAUCUCCAUCAGGUCUCCCUCUGUGAGCGUUUCUCCUCUUCUUGACCGUGGACACACCCUUGGCCUCCAAUGAGUAGACACCCAGCAAGAGGAGCGAGUGUCUCAGUGUUGCCACUGAUAGCCCUUCUCCCCACCAGUGAACACCAGAGGUUAGAGCGGUCUGCAGUCUAGACUUUACUGCUCACUUUUCUAUUCGGGAGAUUGUGGUUCUUGGAUUGGUUCAACCCUUUUUCAACCUGCAAGAAACUGGAAGAGAAUCACUCGGCAGUUGAUUGUUCAAAACUAUUUCUCUGUUUUCCAGCAACUUUGUCAUCCACUCUGCUAGAGUUGUUUCUCUUAUUGACUUGUUUGAAAUUUAAUGUAUAGAAGUGUCUUUAACUAGUGUUUUUAACUAAUUAGACUCCCUCCUGUUGACGCAUGAACAACUUCAUGUGUCACAAGAGCUACUGUUUUUGUAUAAAGACUUCGGUUGUAACGGUUUCCCAUCACAUAUGAUCAGAUCAUCCUGUAGAAUUGCUCCGCACCUCAACCAUUUCUUUCGCUCUAGUAAUGGCACAAAUGUGUGGUUCAUUUCUCAAGAUAUCCAGUGGAAUUUGCAUAGAGGUGUUGUCACCAUAAGUGCGGCUACUGUUUGUACUGCUACUGAUUUUGCUGCUUGGUCUGCAAAAUUGUAAGCCCUCUGUCAUGCCAUAUUUUCAAAAUGGCGUACUGCAGAUCAAAUUCAUCAUUGAUAAGUCAAACCAACGAAAAAAAAAACAAAACUAGUCAAAAAAAAAAAAAAAAAAAAAAAAAAAAUAUUCUUUCGUUAACAGAAAUAAAAAUAAAAACAAAAGUAAAACUAUCUAAAACUGCAAUGAGUGGUCACAAAAUUAACUGAUUUUGUAGCAAAAAAAUGUGUUUAGUUUUAAAAUCUUAAGUCAAAACUAAAGAAAAAUAAAACUAACGAAAAUUGCAAAACUAUUAAAACAGUUAGAAUAAACAUAUUGGCUGUCUCUGUGUCUCUCUGUCUGUCUGCGUCUUGACACAGUCAGCUCCUUUGUAUGGGCAUGUAGUUCCUGUUACACGUUUUCCUGUUACAGACACAUUUCCCGUUUCUCCAGAGUAAUCGAACUCUUUGUUGAAUUUAACUGUUUUCAUCUAGUCUGCACUUCCACCUAAAUGUAAGUAGAAAGGUUAUAUCCAAGUUACUGAAUGCUAUUUUUAUAGAUGCAGUAAGGAGAACAGAGCACAUUCCACGGGAGCUUCACUCCCAUCUCUGGUGGAGGCAGAAAAAGGGAGCCAAGGUCAUAACUCAGGCUCAUUAAGAGUCAGAAAGAAUGUGAGUGCUUAGUCUUGUGGCUAUCGCGCAUUGUAUAUAGCUUCUUUUCUUUGUUUAGUAGCUUUCUGCCUUCACCUGAGGGUGUACCCUAAGUAUGUGACUCAGGUCUCCAUAAUCGGAGUUUAUUUAAAGAUAAAUAAGAUGAUCCAUUCAUUGCUCGUGAGAUCAUGCACUAGACGUAUGUUGCAGUAUUUAGCUUUCUUCAACACUUAAACAAAAUAUCACUUCUUAUCCAUUACCAUUCUCUCGUAUUAAAAACAAACAAACAAACAAAAACAAACUAAGUUUAACUUUUCUGCUUUGUCACUUAAAACAAAGCAUCGCUCUCAACCCAGCUCUCAGCUGGCUCGAAGUAUCAUCAUCAAGCAUGAAGUUGCAUGAAGAGAGCUGUUUCAGAAGUCACAGCAUGGGGCACUUUGAUGAUUAAAGUGUGUCCUAAAACAAUGUCAGCUGACCUUUCACUGCCUCUGCUGCAGCUACACCAGCCUGCACACAACAGAGUCUAAUUUGCAGAAGUAAAAUGCAAGCAGACGUUGUUUUUCUCCAAAUGCCUGUGUUAAAACAGCUUUCAUGCAACCUGCACUUCCAUCUACAUGUAAGUAGAAAGGCUAUUUCCAAGUUACUGAAUGCUUCUUCUUCCUUUUUUCUCUGUAGAUACAGCACUACAUAUUUUCUUAAGGCAUUUCGGACAAUUUCUAUUUUGUUUUAAAAUAAUUCAUAUAUCUCAUACAUGUUACAUAUGUCAAACUUCUAAGUUGGGAAAAACUUAGCAUUGCUUACAGCUCGUAGCUCACAGCUCUAAAACUAGGCAUCAGUAAAUCAUGUGCCUAAUCAUUUCGUGUCACUGUGAUCCACAAGUAUGAUCACAGAUUUGUUUUUCAAACCAACAAAACAAACAAACAAAAACAAGUUGCUGAUGGCAUGAAGGCCUUACACACGAGUUGGGACACAAAAAGAAAAAGAACUGCUGUCAGAAACAAAGGAGAAGUGUGAGAGAAAAAACUGAGAUCACAGACUGCUGCAUGUGUGAGCUUUUAAUAUCAUGCAGCUUCUGCUCUGAAAAACAAAAGAAAUUAAUACAAAAUAAAAGUGUGUAUCUUGCUCAUUAGCUUGGUAGUAUAGGUUUGCUCUUCAUCUUAACAAAAUCUCAUCUAAGAUGACAGGUUUACAAGCAGGUCAAGUGUCUCUAUGCACUUAAUUAGUUUACAUAUUUUCUUUAUUUUCUUCAUCUCAUAUGUCAUUAUACUGAAUUUGAGCAAACCUUAAGCUUGAUACAGAUUACUUUUAACAAUUAUCCACCUCACAUCACAACUGACUGAGGUGCCUCUUCAUAUUUAAUAUUAUUUCAUUAUUAAUGUUAUUAUCUUUUAUUUAACAGCAAUAGUAUAUUACAAUAUUUUAUUUGUGUCCACCAAGGGCUGAGGGUGAGCUGCAGUCUCACCCUUUCUCAAGCUGGAGACAUUUUCCUUGGCUGAACAAUGACACAGCCUUAAUAUGCCGUAUGCAUCUCUCUUUUUUUAUUUGAUAUAUUUUGUGUGAAUUAUCUGGUUUCACGCAUUCCAUUCAUUCAGCUUGGUUGUCUUCCCAAUAUUAUUUCAUUGCUUUAAUUUAAGUUAACCUUAAUUUAACCUUUUGUUUAUUCCACUUCAUUCCUCUUUCCAUGCUUUAAAAUAUUACAACUCUUGUGUAUGCUUUGUUUUCUUUUUAGCAUCCUUUUCAGUAUUUAUUUCUGCUUGGAGGGUUUCUUAUAAUUUAGUUAUACAUUUUCCCUCCCACGUGGGACAUUUAGGUUUCUUUAGGAUUUCUCCAUCUGUUUGUGCUUAUUUGUCCUGCACUGGGGCAUUUCUUUUCUAACCAUAGUUCAUCUGCAGUCAAUUCAGGCUUUGCGGGUUUAUUUCCCAUUUUUUGGGCUUAGAGUUAUCAAUAAUAUUUUAUUGUAAAUUGCUUAUAAUUUUAUUUUUUUUAUUGUAUUUGGAAACACCUUGUUUUGCUUUUAUGUAUUAAUACUGCCAACAUACACUCUGUGUGACCUUCGCUGAUAUUAGAGUCGGGGGAGGUUAUUAAGGCAGCCUUCUACCCUGGUCUAGACCCAGGGCGGCCUUAAUUUUAUGCGUUGAAGCGCAACCUUUGACCCCUUCUCACCAGUACAUCGGUCAACACAGGAAACAGUAAGAGUGGUGCAGAAACCUGUUGUUUCUAUUCAAAAGGUCACUCACUCUACAACAACACAUAAACUUCACACGCGGUACUAUAAUCCUAUUUUAAUUGACACGUUCUUUAUUUUCAUUCACUCGUGAGAGUGAGAUCCCUUUAUUUUCAUUCACUCGUGAGAGUGAGAUCCCUUUAUUUUCAUUCACUCGUAAGAGUGAGAUCCCUUUAUUUUCAUUCACUCGUAAGAGUGAGAUCCCUUUAUUUUCAUUCACUCGUAAGAGUGAGAUCCCUUUAUUUUCAUUCACUCGUGAGAGUGAGAUCCCUUUAUUUUCAUUCACUCGUAAGAGUGAGAUCCCUUUAUUUUCAUUCACUCGUGAGAGUGAGAUCCCUGACUUCCAACCUUUUAAACUGCGGAGUGACCCCACACAGGACCGUCAAACUCCGUCUUACAGGCGAGCCCUUUCACUCAUAAGAGUGAGAUCCCUGACCUCCAGUCCUUAAAGGACGGGUCUUUUAAGAACCGUGUCAAUCUAAAAACCGAUUUUAGCCGCAAUGUGUUGUUGAGUGUUUAUAUUCACCUGCUUCGGAUGAAAAUGCCGGUCAGAGAGAAUCCUCCUCGCUCCCUGGGAUCGUGGACCUCUUGCUAAAAACGCUGGCCAACGGCGAAUUCACGUAGUUGGUCUUUACUGUUUCACUAGAAACAGGCUGUCGCGACAGACUUUGCAGCGUGGGUUCACGAAUCCAGGAAACGACGAGGUCACUCUGUUGGCUCGAAGGACCAAAUAAAUGUGAGGAGUAAAUAUUUAAACAAGACAUUCUUCAGGCGAAAUAAAGACACUCAAGACAGUUUAGAUGGUAACAACGUGCGCACGCUGGGUGAGUGCUGCUGUCUCAGGCUCACAACCAGCAUUUGUGGCAGUUCUUUAUUUAUAGCGUUUCAGAGUAUGUGUGUGUGUGUGAAGUUUAUGAUCUCAGAGUGUGUGUGUGUGAUUCUGAAGAAUGGGCCCCUCUUUGUAUUUGGGAGUGUAUAGAUAAGAACGUCCUGCUCUCCCCUUCCUGGGAGUGAAACGGCUCGUAGAGAACCAGGUACAGAGGAAAUAUACUGGGUGAAUCAUAUCUGAGAACACUAUGCUUUUGUCUUUCAUUUAAGCUUCACUUCAGCGAAACAGUAAAACCAUAAAAUACGAUUAAAUGGAAAGAAUAAAUGGGUAAACAACUAUUAACACUAAAAUUAAAGAUAAACUUUCAAUAACGUACAAAUGGCAGUGGGAAUAAUACUUGAAACAUUUGAAAAUCUCUUGACACCGGAAAAUACAGUAUGCUUCUCACCCAGAGGCGCU
ensembl:lncRNA